UCGGGAUAAUCAUAACUUGUGGGCAGAUCUUGUUUCCUGUCGGGUUAGUUUCUAACCUGGUCAUUCUGCGCUUAUUUUUGUCCAUUUCUCCACCCACUUGGGAAAGGCAGAGAAGGCAGGCACCGCGCAGCCCCUGAGAACGGUGACUGAGGCUCAUGGCUCCCCCGCAGCCCUCCCACCCCUGCCAGGAGCCGGAAGGCCUGCACGAGGGCCAGGGUCUCUCGGGGACCCGGGGUCUCCCCCGGGCUUACGUCAGACUGUCGGGGGGCGGGGUAGUGACUGCCUGACUUUCGCCGUCUGCGGUGCAGGCAGGAAAGGCCCCCAGGCACGCGGUCCCCAUCCCCGCGGCUUCCUGGACUCCGGGGCUGGGAUGGUGUGUGGGGGUGGAGGUGUGGCUUCCGGGGGUGUGGAGGAGCCAGGUGCGGCUCUCAGGGCGGAGAAGGGGGGGCGAGCAGGGCGGAGCCGACCGGGGCAGGUCUGGUGUGUGCCGAAGCGAAGGGGCGGGCCUUGGCGCUCCGGGAGCUGCCGGGCAACUUUUCCCGGCUCACGCCCGGGAGCGGGAGAGAAGCCCUCGGGACGGCUUCUGAAGCGUCUCAGUGUCCUUGGAUCCCCGCGCAAACCCACAGCAGCUCCAGCGCCAGGGCGACGGGCUCAGGAUGCAGCCAGGACGGAGAGGCGGCACGCCGCUGCAGCUGGUGUUAGUGCUUAGUCAAGGCAUUUUAAACUGUUGUGUGGCAUACAACGUUGGUCUCCCAAAAGCAAAGAUAUUUUCUGGUCCUUCAAGUGAACAGUUUGGCUAUGCAGUGCAGCAGUUUAUAAAUCCAAAAGGCAACUGGUUACUGGUUGGUUCACCAUGGAGUGGCUUUCCUAAGAACCGAAUGGGAGAUGUAUAUAAAUGUCCUGUUGAUCUAUCCACCACUACAUGUGAAAAAUUGAAUUUGCAAACUUCCACGAGCAUUUCCAAUGUUACUGAGAUGAAAACCAACAUGAGCCUUGGCUUGACACUGACAAGGAACGUGGGAACAGGAGGAUUUCUUACCUGUGGUCCCCUGUGGGCACAGCAGUGCGGAAGUCAGUAUUACACAACCGGGGUUUGCUCUGAUGUCAGUCCCGAUUUUCAGUUGCGGACCAGCUUUGCGCCUGCAGUUCAGACCUGCCCUUCCUUCAUAGAUGUUGUGGUUGUAUGUGAUGAAUCAAACAGUAUUUAUCCCUGGGAUGCAGUAAAGAACUUUUUGGAAAAAUUUGUACAAGGCCUAGAUAUAGGCCCCACAAAGACACAGAUGGGGUUAAUUCAAUAUGCCAAUAAUCCAAGGGUUGUGUUUAACCUGAAUACUUUUAAAUCCAAAGAUGAAAUGAUUAAAGCAACAUCGCAGACAUUCCAAUAUGGUGGAGACCUUACAAAUACCUUUAAAGCAAUUCAGUAUGCAAGAGAUACCGCUUAUUCAACGGCUGCUGGUGGACGACCAGGUGCUACCAAAGUUAUGGUGGUUGUAACUGAUGGUGAAUCCCAUGAUGGGUCAAAGUUGAAAGCUGUGAUUGAUCAAUGUAACAAAGACAAUAUACUGAGGUUUGGCAUAGCAGUUCUUGGGUACUUAAACAGAAACGCCCUGGAUACUAAAAAUUUAAUAAAGGAAAUUAAAGCUAUUGCCAGUAUUCCAACAGAAAGACACUUCUUCAAUGUCUCUGAUGAAGCAGAUCUACUAGAAAAGGCUGGGACAAUAGGAGAACAAAUUUUCAGCAUUGAAGGUACAGUUCAAGGAGGAGACAACUUCCAAAUGGAAAUGUCACAAGUGGGAUUCAGCGCGGAAUACUCUCCUCAAAAUAAUAUUCUGAUGCUGGGUGCAGUAGGAGCUUAUGACUGGAGUGGGACUGUGGUCCAGAAGACACCUCAUGGACAUUUGAUCUUUUCUAAACAAGUGUUUGAACAAAUUCUGCAAGACAGAAAUCACAGUUCAUAUUUAGGUUACUCUGUGGCUUCAAUUUCUACUGGGAACAGUGUCCACUUUGUUGCUGGUGCUCCUCGAGCAAAUUAUACUGGCCAGAUAGUGCUCUACAGUGUUAAUGAGAAUGGCAAUGUCACAGUUAUUCAGUCUCACAGAGGUGACCAGAUUGGCUCCUAUUUUGGUAGUGUGCUGUGUGCAGUCGAUGUGAAUAAGGACGCGAUUACAGAUGUGCUCUUGGUAGGUGCGCCAAUGUACAUGAAUGACCUAAAGAAAGAGGAAGGAAGAGUCUACCUGUUUACUAUCACAAAGGGCAUUUUGAAUUGGCACCAAUUUCUGGAAGGCCCCAAGGGUCUUGAAAAUGCUCGAUUUGGUUCAGCAAUUGCAGCUCUUUCAGACAUCAACAUGGAUGGCUUUAAUGACGUGAUUGUUGGUUCACCUUUGGAAAAUCAGAACUCUGGAGCUGUGUACAUCUACAAUGGUCAUGAGGGCAUGAUUCGCUUGAGGUAUUCUCAGAAAAUCUUGGGGUCCGACAGAGCCUUUAGUAGCCACCUCCAGUACUUUGGGAGAUCCCUGGAUGGCUAUGGAGAUUUAAAUGGGGAUUCCAUCACCGACGUGUCCGUGGGGGCCUUUGGACAGGUCGUUCAGCUCUGGUCACAGAGCAUUGCUGAUGUAUCUGUAGAUGCUUCAUUCACACCAAAAAAAAUCACUUUGCUCAACAAAAAUGCUGAGAUAAAACUUAAACUCUGCUUCAGUGCUAAGUUUAGACCUACUAAUCAAAACAAUCAAGUGGCCAUUGUGUAUAACAUCACAAUUGAUGAAGACCAGUUUUCAUCCAGAGUGAUGUCCAGGGGGUUAUUUAAGGAAAAUAAUGAAAGGUGCUUGCAGAAGACCAUGAUAGUAAGUCAAGCACAGCGCUGUUCUGAGUACAUCAUCCACAUACAGGAGCCCUCUGACACUAUCAGCCCUCUGAAUCUGUGUAUGAACAUUAGUCUGGAAAACCCUGGCACUAACCCUGCCCUUGAAGCCUACUCUGAGACGGUCAAGGUCUUCAGUAUCCCUUUCCAUAAAGACUGUGGUGAUGAUGGAGUUUGCAUUUCUGAUCUAGUUCUAAAUGUUCAGCAGCUGCCAGCCACUCAACAACAGCCCUUCAUUGUCAGCAACCAAAACAAAAGGUUAACAUUUUCAGUACAACUGAAAAACAAGAAGGAAAGUGCCUACAACACUGAGAUUGUUGUUGAUUUUUCAGAAAACCUGUUUUUUGCUUCCUGGUCCAUGCCGGUUGAUGGGACAGAAGUGACCUGCCAGAUUGCUUCAUCUCAGAAGUCUGUUACCUGCAAUGUGGGCUACCCUGCUUUAAAGAGCAAACAACAGGUGACUUUCACUAUUAACUUCGACUUCAAUCUUCAAAACCUUCAGAAUCAGGCAUCUAUCAGUUUCCGAGCCUUAAGCGAAAGCCAGGAAGAAAACAUGGCAGAUAAUUCAGUCAACUUAAAACUCUCUCUGCUGUAUGAUGCUGAAAUUCACAUAACAAGAUCUACCAACAUAAAUUUUUAUGAAGUCUCCUUGGAUGGGAAUGUUUCUUCUGUCGUGCACAGUUUUGAAGAUAUUGGUCCAAAAUUCAUCUUCUCCAUUAAGGUAACAACAGGAAGUGUUCCAGUAAGCAUGGCAUCUGUGAUCAUCCACAUCCCUCAAUACACCAAAGACAAGAACCCGCUGAUGUACCUGACCGGGGUGCACACAGAUCAGGCUGGUGACAUCAGUUGCGAAGCCGAAAUAAAUCCACUGAAAAUAGGACAGACGUCUUCUUCUGUAUCUUUCAAGAGUGAAAAUUUCCGGCACAUAAAAGAAUUGAACUGUAGAACUGCUUCAUGCAGUAGCAUCAUGUGCUGGCUGAGAGACCUUCAGGUGAAAGGAGAAUACUUCCUUAAUGUGUCCACCAGGAUUUGGAAUGGGACUUUCGCAGCAUCGACUUUCCAGACAGUACAGUUGACAGCAGCUGCAGAAAUUGACACGUACAACCCUCAGAUAUACGUGAUCGAAGAAAACACGGUCACGAUUCCCCUUACGAUAAUGAAACCCCAUGAGAAAGUUGAAGUACCGACUGGAGUGAUAGUAGGAAGUGUAAUCGCUGGAAUUCUUUUGCUAUUAGCUCUAGUUGCAAUUUUAUGGAAGCUUGGAUUCUUCAAAAGAAAAUAUGAAAAAAUGGCCAAAAAUCCAGAUGAAACUGAUGAGACCACAGAACUCAACAGCUGAAUCAUCCAGCAGCUCCCACCAUAGUGGGUAGAAGCAGCAGUACAGCCAGAGGAUGAAAACUGGCUGACCUGGCUGGCACCUUGUCAAUUUUUGAAAUUUGAGUAAUUGCUUUGGAAUCCUUUCUGCUUCCACAAUGAACCUCUCCCAUGUCCUGGUGCUCCAUAUUCUGCAAGCCUGCAGCUGCCCACCUUCCUCUCCAGGAGUCCGGAGUUUUCCACCCUCCUGGGACUCGUGUCCAAACCUCCACUCCCAGGGCAGGGGCUCUUCCCCAGGUGUGAGGAGGAAGUCAUCCGUUCCACUUCCCGCACUUGCGUGAGUUACUGUAUAAUCCCCUUAACUUCAGGGAGCUGUUUUCAGUUGGCUAAAUAUGUAAGAAAAAUUAAGCCCAAGUGAACUUCUAAUUGUUGAUAUUUCAGGCAGGGUAAACAAGGUAAAAUAUAAAUAAUCUCAGGAAUUUGCAGGAAAUUACAAGACCUUAGAAACCACCUAGUAAGCACCUGCUGUGCUUGGUUCUGGAGAACUUACAUUUCCAGAAGAAUGGCUUUAACCUGGGAGUUUGCUCACCAGAGAGUCUCAGGCCCCAAUUCCUGAUAAUCUUAUUUAGUCAACAAAUUGGGAUGAAGCCUGAUGACCUGUAUUUUAACAAAGGUCCAGGUCCUUAUGAUGUAAAUGGGCCACCUUGCGGAACACCAUCCAUUCCUCCGCUGCACCUUCUUUUCUCUGUUAGUUUCUAGGUUCACCCUCUAGGCGGGCCUGAGAGAGAAAGCGCAGAGGCAAAGGCUGUGGGGACUAUUUUCUGUCAGAAAAUACAUACUUAAAGCUUCAGACAAGUCGCUCAGCCUCUGAAACUUCAGCGUCCUCGUUAUAAAAUGGGGGACACUGGGGUGGAGCUCAGUAGUGACACUUUCAACUUUUAAAAACCCAUUGUCUGGGUUUCUUAUAAUACAAAUAGACAAUCCUCCCAGAAUGUGACUCGGAAGUCAGGAAAGCAGGCACGUGCCCGCGUGUGUGUCUGUGAUGGAGGCGCAGGGCUGUCUGCACAGUUCCGGGAUUCAUUUUGCGUCUGAUGAAACAAAGGGAAAAGAAACAAUUGGCAAAAAAAAUGUCAGGGGUUUGUAACAAAAAUGACAUUGUAUUCUCUAGUUAACAUGUGCUAGAGCCCAAUUCUUGUAACAGCUGUGUGGACUCAAACACUGUUUCAUUCCAAGGAGUGUUUAAAAAAAGAACGGAGGGGAAACUGGUCAUUACGUUGAUAAAGACUAUUUAAUAAACUGGGUAACCACUGUAUAUAUAUGUAUACUAGUUCUUCAAAGUAAUAUACUAAGAAUUACAGCAUGUCAUCCUCCUUUACUCUGCCUCUAAGCUUCCUUAGAUAAACACUAGACAGAGGUCACAUGCCCACAGCAAGCUGGUGAGCUCUGGUGAGCCUCGCCUUAGAUGAGUCGCCUUGAUGGCACUGUUUCCAUGAAGGAGCUGGAUUACUGCAAACUUAAGAAGCCAGCCGCUCGUCUCUGCACCACUUAUCUCGCUGGGUAGGUCUCUCAGCCCUGGCUCUACUGACACUGGGGCCAGGUAACUCUUUCUGAUGCGGGCCUGUCCGGUGUAUUGUAGGAUGUUUAGCAGCAUCCCUGGCCUCGGUCUACAGCUCUACCCACCCACAUCAGAGGCACCCUCUCCCCCUCGUGGCAAUCAAAAAAUGUCUCAGACACUGGCUGACGCUUCCUGGAAGGUAUAGUCGCUCCAGCUGAGAACCACUGCACGAGAGCACGUGGCCUAAAUAUACAACUUCUGUCACCAGACCACGGGUCUAAGGCAGAGGCGCCACUGAGGAGUAUUCUUUGAGCACUUUUAAGCAAAGGUUGAAUAGUCAUCCAAGAUAUUUAAAAAUUGUUUAAAAAAAAAAAAAAAGCUCUGUAUUCCUAUUCAGCCAUACUUUUGUUUUAAAAGUAAGUAGAAUAUAGGGCUUAAAAGAUGUCAUCUUAAAGUUUCCAUUUCAUAAAUGGUAUAUAGACAAUGUGUAUAGAAUGGGGUAAGAACUGAGUUGCUUCAUGCAUGGCUGCCAUACAAGCUUUAUAAAAUAAUAAAGUAAAACAGUCUGAAGAAACUGCAUUGAAAUUUGAAUUUGUGCAUCGUUCACUUCAGCAGCAAACUGAGAAACUGGACAGAUUCCUAACUGGAUGUGUUUUUAUAAAAUAGUGAACAUUAUUAACUGUGAAAAAAAAGUGGAAAACAGUUUAUCAUAAUCACACAUGUGAUUAUACUAAUGGUUAUUACACAAGUAGUUAUUAUAAAAGGUGUAAUUUUAUAGUGUAUUCUGAUAUACAGUUAUAACUUAAUAUAUGACAAUCUCAUAAAUUAAGAUAUCAUAAGCAUUAAACAGGAUUCCUCAAACUUCGCUCCUUGGUCCAUCUUUAAUACAAUUUGCACAUAGAAAAUAAUCAUAUACACGACUUUCAGGAGUAUGCCCUCAUUAAUGCACACUCAUUCUAAUCAUGUUAGUUAGUUAGAAAGACUAACCAUGUAGGGGUAGAAAGUAUAUAUGGGGGCAGUGUCUGAAACAAAAUGUUGACUGAACCUUAAAGAAUGAAAAUGUAGCCGUUAUGUAAAUAUUAAAAAAUGGUUUCAUGCCUGGUUUAUUUUGGCAGAUAAAGUCAAAAUGUAAAUGUAUAUAUUGCACAACUAUGCUAAAUUGUAUAUUUUUUAAAGACAAAUUGUCUUGGAUAGUUUCCUUCAUACAUAAUGUAUAAAUCUUUAAGAAUAUUUGCUGUUUUGAUUAACUGGUUUUUGUCUUUUUUUCUCUCCACCAAAAAUACAAAAAUGAAUGUAUGCAUGUUUGUACAUGAAGUGUCACACAGUUCAUUUGAUUUCUAAGAAACAACCAAAUUGGAGCAAUAAUCAACAUUAAAUUAGUUAAGAGCUUUUCUCCUAUUAAAGUAUGAGAAUCAAACAGAAGAGUAUUAUUCAAUUGUAAACUACUCUUUACAGAGCACAUUACUGAAUAUCAUUAAAAUCAUUUUGAAAAUAAAGCUAUUCACUUUGGAAUUUGAA